UACGAAGGGGGCUAGCGUUGCUCGGAAUUACUGGGCGUAAAGCGCACGUAGGCGGUCUUUUAAGUCGGGGGUGAAAUCCUGGAGCUCAACUCCAGAACUGCCUUCGAUACUGGAAGACUCGAGUCCGGGAGAGGUGAGUGGAACUGCGAGUGUAGAGGUGAAAUUCGUAGAUAUUCGCAAGAACACCAGUGGCGAAGGCGGCUUACUGGUCCGGUUCUGACGCUGAGGCGCGAAAGCGGUGGGGAGCAAACAGG
rnacentral:rRNA from 1 species